ACAUAAUUCCAUGGCUGCCAGUAAACCCCGCACUCCCUGCAGCAGCCAAGCCUAGCGAAACUGCUACUCUGGCCAUUAAACAGCCAAGGCGGAGGAGAAAGGAAGGAGAAAACUGUGUAGUUGCAUCCCUCCUGCAGUUCGAGAGACAAAAGCAAGGCAUGGACUUCCCUCGGCUGCCAGGCAAGGGAAACCCCAUAGCUGCAAAGCCAGCCGUUGAGAGCUAUAAAGCCUCCAUAAUAGUCACCCCCUUGAACUAAGGAAUCCUUAAAUACAGAAACUGAAAUCCCAAAAAGAGUGUGUGCGACUAUUAUAUGAUGGCAACCAUUAUGUGAUGAAAUACGUGACUGGCUUGACCUUGAAGGAACUGGGGGCGGCAACGGCUGACAGAGAGCUCUGGCGUGGACUGGUCCAUGAGGUCACAAAGAGUCGAAAAUGACUGAACGAGCGAGACAACAACGACGACCCCACUUUAUCUGUCCCACAGGAGGCUCAAAGUGGCAGCUCAUUUUGAACACACACAUUAAUCUAUUAUUUAGAAAUCAUGUACAUAAUACACACUAGUUUUGUGGUGUAGGUUUCUCUUGCUAAAAGUGCUGGCUACGCAACAGGAGUAUCUGUGUUGAUGGUGUCAGAGGCAAGGCAACAGAUUGUUGGAAGUGCCCUUCCUAUAUGACAAGAGAGGGUAAACCUUCACUUUCACUUGCCCUCUGGAAGAGCUCAGGAGAGAACAUAAAAUGGAGAAUUAGAACAAAAUCCCAUGCAGUUGUACACUUGAUCAGUGUUAAUCCACCCAACUCUCACUAACGCUAGGCCUCUCCCUGGUUCUGCACAUGCUGGAAAAGAUAAUGCCUGGAGCUUUUUACUAACAAAGAGACUUCUAGCUGGUAGAAUAGGUAGAAGAAAAAGACACAUUCAGCAUAGUUUUGAUUAGAACAAAGUUGGGUGGAGGGAUGGAAGAAUUAAAGAUGAAAGGAAAAUCAUUUGAGAGCACGAAUGACCUUUUCAGUACUUAACUCAGAAUCUGCCCUAAACAGACAUUUGUGGCUAGAAAUAUUAUGUAUUAUUAACCAUUUUUAAAAGAACAAAAACAAAACAAACAAAACACCUUACUGCUGAAUCAUACUACUUAAAAUCUCCUGGGAAACCUAGUGGAAUUUAUUUCCCAUUUAUAAAGUGACUUCUGAAGGAAAGUGCAAGGCAGGGGAAGGCAAAGAUAACAUAACAACCUGGAGCUUUUUGUCUCUGACAGCCAAUCUAAGAAAUGUGCAUCCAAUCCUGGUCAUUGGGAACAAUAGAUAAAGACAACUCAACAUCCAAAUCCCAGAAGAAAACAAUGCCUCCUUUACCCCCAGCAUUCCUACAAAUUGUGUUCCAAAAGUGAGGUACUCUCUUUUAUAAGAAACAGCCAAGGUUUCCUCACAAGAGGAGGUGUAAAAAUACUAGGAAGAGGGGAUAACAUACAUCAUGUUUCAACUUUUCCCCUACUUUGCAAAGAUUUUUUUAUUUUAGAUGAUUUUGAGUGGCACUAGAAGCAAAGGCCUGUCUGAUACUGAUAUAUGUUCAGCGGUUCGAAUCCAGGGAGAGCGGGGUGAGCUCACUCUGUCAGUUCCAGCUCCCCAUGCAGACAUGAGAGAAGCCUCCCACAGGAUGGUAAAAAUAUCUAAACAUCUGGGCGCACCUUGGGCUAUGUCCUUGCAGACAGCCAAUUCUCUCACACCAGAAGCGACUUGUAGUUUCUCAAGUUGCGCCUGACACACACACAAAAAAACUUCUGCUUUGGCCUCAUUCAGGUUCUGCUGACCAAAUUUUGUCUCUGUAUUCUGUUUUAAAAAUCUAAUGAUGAAAUGAAGUGGAGGCACAAGAUUACCCACACCUGAAGACUCAACAUGAAUUCAGUGAAAUGUGUUUUCAUGUGCAAACAAGUAAAUGCAUCCCUGGAUUUCAGAACUGUAUUUAAAAUAAGAAAAGAAUUAUUCCCUCCUCCCAUAAGAAUGCAGGGAAAAAGAAAAAGCACUUGAGGGGCAAUAUGAGCCUUUACUUUCAGAGAAAACAGCAUCUCACACAGCUAGGGGCAAGCGCACUACAAAGGCCUAGGGCAGAACGCAAAUUGCCUCAUUAAAUUUCAUCACAUUAAGCCAAUUCCAUGAAUUUAACGUUGUCCCUGGACUGUUGUUUGUCUGAAAAUUAAAUUAAAAUAACAUUUGUUCUUCCAACGAGUUUGUCAAUUACAGAGGCCAGAGGAGGGUGGAGGCAAGAGAAGAUGCAAGUCUGAGCCAGUUGUUGCUUUAUCUUCACUUCCCUAAGGAAGAAAAGGAGGGGUGGUUCCUGUCUCUAGAAGAGCCAUACAUAUUGCUGUACCAGUUGGAAUAGCUUGAGUGAGCUCACAUCAGUAAUAUACCAUCACAAGUUCUAAAAGGAAGUUAAUAAUGUACCCCUUGUACCUGAUCUAACAUGGAGUCAGGCAAUUAUUAAUGUGUUACUAGAGAAAAAAACGUAUUUCCUAAAAGAGGAGUUCUGAUACAUUUGCAAUUGCGUUUUUCAGAAGUUUUUAGCCCCUACAGACUCACACCCUUGUAUUAUUCUUCAAUUAAACUAUUAGGGUAGAAAUCUCAACCUGAAUAUUUUUAACCACUCAGUCACAUUCUUCAAUUCAUGAUUUGAAAUGAAAUACCUUGUCACAUGGUGCUAGUUCACUUUCCUAUUUCCAGCUGCUAAAUUACAUUAAAAGGAUGCUGAA